GGACUUUGGAGCGUGUACCAUCGUGACUAUUUUCUAGUCUGCUAACCGCAUGAUGAAGAAAUAAGCUUUUUAAACCGAUGGCUGAACUAGAACUAAAGCCGCAUUCGGAAGGCACUAACUGACCACAGGGUGUAUUCUUUUCUGCUUGGUUGGUGUUGGAGCAAGGUGAGCGAGUUACUGUGGACUCUGGGCUAGAGACGGGUCCUCUCUCAUUUAGCAUGAAGAAGAGAUUGCAUGGCCCUGCUGCCGCUCCCGUCAGAGGGAGGUUGGAGCAAUUUGAAGGACUGUGCUACUAUGGACAGUUGUUGAUUGAUCCAGGGAUUCUUCUGGCACUCCAGACAUUUAAAACCAUCCCCACAAGUCGAAUGAAUGCGCUGGCAGAUGCAGUCUUUACAGAAAUUGUGACUACAUCCUGUGGAUGUGGCACAGGUGAAGAAAUCUAGACAGAACAUGCCACUUCUUCUGAAAUGCUUGAGGUAAGCUAUGAGGCCAUGAUGCUUUCUGGUGCCUCUGAUUUGGGUCUUUCCUUGUGUUUGGAGCUCCUCUCGAUUUCCCUGGAGUUUUCUUCUCAGCUCUAGUUCCUGAUCUCUGGGCUGAGGAAGUGUGAUUUGGGAGGCAAUGUGGCGCCAUGGAAAUGGUGCUGGAUUUGAAUCCUGACUUCAUCACUUAUUUCCUAUGGGACCUUGGCAAAUCACUUAAACUUCUCUAGUCUUCAGUUUCCUCACCUGCAAAAUGCAGGGAUAGGACCAAAUGCUUUCCAUGGUCUACACCAGCUCAACAUCUAUGAUAUUAUGCUAUCUGACUGCCUAAUAGGCAUGUCUAUCUGGGUGCCCCAUAACUAUCUCAAGUGCAACUUGGAUAAAACCGAACUUACUUUUCCCCGUAAACCUGCUGCUCCUUCUGGCUCUACCAUUUCUGCCUCUGACCUGAUGUUGAUGCCUAGGUUUGGAAUCUCUGGGUUCUUUUUGAUUCUCAUUUCUUCUCCCUCAUUUCCCACAUGUGAUCCAUGACUAAGCCCUGUUGAUUAACCUCCAGAAUUUCUCUUGAAUUUGUUUCUCUUCGAAUUAGGAACACCCUGCCACCUAGACCAUCGCAACAGCCUGCCCGGCGGUCUUCCUUCUCUACUCUCCUCUCCCUCUGAUCUCCUCCUCCCCAGGCUGCACUCUGGUCUUUCUGUACCAUGCCCCAGAAACCUUUUCAUCUGGAAGCUCACUCCAGCCUGGAAUUCACACACUGGAAGUACCCUCCAUCCCUGCUGCUGCCUCUCUUCUAAUUGGAUGGCUCCUCCCAGAACCUCUAUUUAAGGAGGGAGUGGGCCCAGGCCUGCCAUGUCUUCAUUUCUUUUCAGGCUGUACUCCAUACUUUCUCUACCAAGCCCCAACAAUGGAUACUUUCCAGUGCCCUGGUUUCUCCUCCCCACCAGCCCAAGCUUUUCUUUGCCCUUUUAUGUGUUAUCUUCCCCUAUUAGAAUGUAAGCUCCUGGAGGGCAGGGAUUGUCUUUCUGCUUGUAUUUGUAUUCCCAAUGAUUAGCACAGUGCCUGGCAAAUAGUAAGUGCUUAAUAAAUGCUUGUUUACUGGCA
ensembl:lncRNA